UGCCACUGUGUCUGUCUGCAAAUGUAGGC
rnacentral:piRNA from 1 species